rnacentral:rRNA from 1 species
UCCCAGACUCCUACGGGAGGCAGCAGUGAGGAAUAUUGGUCAAUGGGCGGGAGCCUGAACCAGCCAAGCCGCGUGAGGGAAGAAGGUACAGCGUAUCGUAAACCUCUUUUGUCAGGGAACAAAGGCGGGGACUAGUCCCCGGAUGAGGGUACCUGAAGAAAAAGCAUCGGCUAACUCCGUGCCAGCAGCCGCGGUAAUACGGAGGAUGCGAGCGUUAUCCGGAUUUAUUGGGUUUAAAGGGUGCGCAGGCGGCGAUUUAAGUCAGCGGUAAAAUUUCGGGGCUCAACCCCGACAAGCCGUUGAAACUGGCUUGCUAGAGUGGGCGAGAAGUAUGCGGAAUGCGUGGUGUAGCGGUGAAAUGCAUAGAUAUCACGCAGAACUCCGAUUGCGAAGGCAGCAUACCGGCGCCCAACUGACGCUCAGGCACGAAAGCGUGGGUAUCGAACAGGAUUAGAUACCCCUGUA